GAUGAACGCUGGCGGCGUGCUUAACACAUGCAAGUCGAACGGAAAGGCCAGUGCUUGCCCUGGUACUCGAGUGGCGAACGGGUGAGUAACACGUGGGUGAUCUGCCCUGUACUUCGGGAUAAGCUUGGGAAACUGGGUCUAAUACCGGAUAGGACAACUUUUUGGAUAUUGUUGUGGAAAGCUUUUGCGGUAUGGGAUGAGCUCGCGGCCUAUCAGCUUGUUGGUGGGGUAAUGGCCUACCAAGGCGUCGACGGGUAGCCGGCCUGAGAGGGUGUACGGCCACAUUGGGACUGAGAUACGGCCCAGACUCCUACGGGAGGCAGCAGUGGGGAAUAUUGCACAAUGGGCGCAAGCCUGAUGCAGCGACGCCGCGUGGGGGAUGAAGGCCUUCGGGUUGUAAACUCCUUUCGCUAGGGACGAAGCUUUUUUGUGACGGUACCUGGAGAAGAAGCACCGGCUAACUACGU
rnacentral:rRNA from 1 species